AACGUAGGUGGCGAGCGUUAUCCGGAUUUACUGGGCGUAAAGGGUGUGCAGGCGGGCUGUUAAGUGGUGUAUGAAAUAUCCCGGCUCAACCGGGAGAGGUUAUGCCAGACUGGCAGUCUAGAGAGCGGGAGAGGGACGUGGAAUUCCGGGUGUAGUGGUGAAAUGCGUAGAGAUCCGGAGGAACCCCAGAGGCGAAGGCGGCGUCCUGGCUCGCAUCUGACGCUCAGACACGACAGCAUGGGGAGCGAACGGG
rnacentral:rRNA from 1 species